GAGUUUUGAUCCUGGCUCAGGAUGAACGCUAGCUACAGGCUUAACACAUGCAAGUCGAGGGGCAGCAUGUUGGUUGCUUGCAACCAAUGAUGGCGACCGGCGCACGGGUGAGUAACGCGUAUCCAACCUACCCUUGUCCAUCGGAUAACCCGUCGAAAGGCGGCCUAACACGAUAUGCGGUUCUCAGCAGGCAUCUAACGAGAACGAAAUGUGAAGGAGAAGGAUGGGGAUGCGUCUGAUUAGCUUGUUGGCGGGGUAACGGUCCACCAAGGCGACGAUCAGUAGGGGUUCUGAGAGGAAGGUCCCCCANAUUGGAACUGAGACACGGUCCAAAACUCCUACGGGAGGCA
rnacentral:rRNA from 1 species